rnacentral:ncRNA from 1 species
UAAAAGUUUUUUAACUUUGAUAUUUAAUUUUAAUUAAUGUAUAAAUAAAUAAUUGUAUAAUUUUUUAUAUAAAAUUUAAAAUUUUUAUAUUUUAAUUAAUAAAUGUAUAAUAUUUUUAUAUUAAAAAUUAAAGAAAUUUAGAUUUAGUAAUUAAAUAUAAUUUAAUUGAUUAAAUUUGUGCCAGCAAUCGCGGUUAAACAAAUAAUUAAAUAAAUAUUUUUUUAUUUUAAUUAAUAAAAAUGGUUAAAUAAUUUUAAAAUGAAAUUUUAAUUUAAUAGGUAAAAUUUUAAAUUAAAAAUUUUUUAAAUAUUAUUAAAGUUUUAUAUGAAGUUGAUAAAAUAAUAAAUAAACUAGGAUUAGAUACCCUAUUAUUGUAAAAAUAAAGAUGUAAUAAAAAGUAUUGAUAAGGUUAUUUUAUAAAUUUAAAAGAAUUGGCAGUAUUUUAAUCUAUUUAGAGGAAUUUGUUAUGUAAUUGAUAUUCCACGAAUAAAUUUACUUAAUUUGUUGAAUUUGUAUAUCAUUGUUAUAAAAGCUUAUUUUAAAAUUUAAAGUUUAAUAUUUUUAAAAAAAAGUUAUAUCAAAUCAUGAUGCAGUUUAUAUUUAAGGUUUUAAAUGAAUUAUAAUAAAUUUAUUUUUGAAUAAAAAAUUGGAAAAUUUUUUUGAAAUUAGAUUUAAAAGUAAUUUUAUAUUAAUUUAAUAAAAUGAUUUAGUUUUAAAAUAUGUACAUAUUGCCCGUCAUUUUCAUUUUAAAUUGAAACAAGUCGUAACAAAGUAGAAUUACUGGAAAGUGUUUCUAGAAUGUU